rnacentral:rRNA from 1 species
AGUGAACGCUGGCGGCAGGCCUAACACAUGCAAGUCGAACGGCAGCACAGAGGAGCUUGCUCCUUGGGUGGCGAGUGGCGGACGGGUGAGGAAUGCAUCGGAAUCUGCCUAUUUGUGGGGGAUAACGUAGGGAAACUUACGCUAAUACCGCAUACGUCCUACGGGAGAAAGUGGGGGACCUUCGGGCCUCACGCAGAUAGAUGAGCCGAUGCCGGAUUAGCUAGUUGGCGGGGUAAAGGCCCACCAAGGCGACGAUCCGUAGCUGGUCUGAGAGGAUGAUCAGCCACACUGGAACUGAGACACGGUCCAGACUCCUACGGGAGGCAGCAGUGGGGAAUAUUGGACAAUGGGCGCAAGCCUGAUCCAGCCAUGCCGCGUGUGUGAAGAAGGCCUUCGGGUUGUAAAGCACUUUUGUCCGGAAAGAAAAGUGCUCGAUUAAUACUCGGGUGUUAUGACGGUACCGGAAGAAUAAGCACCGGCUAACUUCGUGCCAGCCGCCGCUGUAAGAC